CAUAACAAUUUGAAUCGCAUGAUUCAGAUUUAAAAGAUGGUUUCGGCUAUCACUUUGGGAUGGACCUGCGGCGCAUUAGCUUGUUGGUAGGGUAACGGCCUACCAAGGCUGUGAUGCGUAGCCGAGUUGAGGGACUGAUCGGCCACAAUGGAACUGAGACACGGUCCAUACUCCUACGGGAGGCAGCAGUAGGGAAUCUUCCACAAUGGGCGCAAGCCUGAUGGAGCAACACCGCGUGAGUGAAGAAGGGUUUCGGCUCGUAAAGCUCUGUUGUUAGAGAAGAACGUGCGUGAGAGCAACUGUUCACGCAGUGACGGUAUCUAACCAGAAAGUCACGGCUAACUACGUGCCAGCAGCCGCGGUAAUACGUAGGUGGCAAGCGUUAUCCGGAUUUAUUGGGCGUAAAGCGAGCGCAGGCGGUUUGAUAAGUCUGAUGUGAAAGCCUUUGGCUUAACCAAAGAAGUGCAUCGGAAACUGUCAGACUUGAGUGCAGAAGAGGACAGUGGAACUCCAUGUGUAGCGGUGGAAUGCGUAGAUAUAUGGAAGAACACCAGUGGCGAAGGCGGCUGUCUGGUCUGCAACUGACGCUGAGGCUCGAAAGCAUGGGUAGCGAACAGGAUUAGAUACCCUGGUAGUCCAUGCCGUAAACGAUGAGUGCUAGGUGUUGGAGGGUUUCCGCCCUUCAGUGCCGCAGCUAACGCAUUAAGCACUCCGCCUGGGGAGUACGACCGCAAGGUUGAAACUCAAAGGAAUUGACGGGGGCCCGCACAAGCGGUGGAGCAUGUGGUUUAAUUCGAAGCUACGCGAAGAAUCUUACCAGGUCUUGACAUCUUGCGCCAACCCUAGAGAUAGGGCGUUUCCUUCGGGAACGCAAUGACAGGUGGUGCAUGGUCGUCGUCAGCUCGUGUCGUGAGAUGUUGGGUUAAGUCCCGCAACGAGCGCAACCCUUGUUACUAGUUGCCAGCAUUCAGUUGGGCACUCUAGUGAGACUGCCGGUGACAAACCGGAGGAAGGUGGGGACGACGUCAGAUCAUCAUGCCCCUUAUGACCUGGGCUACACACGUGCUACAAUGGACGGUACAACGAGUCGCGAACUCGCGAGGGCAAGCUAAUCUCUUAAAACCGUUCUCAGUUCGGACUGCAGGCUGCAACUCGCCUGCACGAAGUCGGAAUCGCUAGUAAUCGCGGCCCAGCC
rnacentral:rRNA from 1 species